AAGAGUGUGCACGCUUUGCCGGGAGAUGGAGAAAUGCCAUUCACAGGAGCUGUCUGUGCCUAACAGUUUCUUAAGCUAUGGGACAGACAACAGGAGUUAUUCUCAGGAACUAGUUUGCAUUGGGUUGCAUAGUGGUUAUCUGUCAUUAAUCUGACAUUUGGGGCUGUCUCAUUUUACUGCUGCUCUGAUUGUUAGGAGUAAGACUGCUGUUAGCACAAGUUUACUUCUAAAGUUUGCUCAGCAGACAUCCAACUCCUGCAGUCCAGCAGGCUCACUGGAGUUGGCAGUCACAGGGCCUGAAGAACUGGACUCAGUUUGCAGUUCCCCACAACGCACGUCCUUAAAGCAAGACGCUUACCCUGCCUUAAAGAGAAACCAGUGCAAAGCAGUGCACUGAUUUUUGUUUUUUACUCCUUCUAUAUCGACACAUCUUCUGUUACUGCAUUUAUCUGCACAUCCAAGCAAUGAAGAAAAAAAAACAACCAACCAUGAAGUUUUCAAUUCAAUCCUGGCACAAACAGCACAAUUCCCUUGGACACCAGUGCAUAUUGCACCCAGUAAUAUCAUGAUAUGACCUGAGACUACAUUUUCUCCUUCAACACCCUUGAACAGCUCUAAGAACAUGGCAAGGCACUAGAUUUUGUUAUUAACUCAUUCAUACUGAGCCUUCAUUUCCGUCAUGCUUCAACCUCAU